AAACUAAGAAGUUAUGAAAUCAGGAUAAUCUAAUGCAUGCUAGAGUAUUGUAGUGAUGAUGUUUCAAACUUUCUGUAAGAAUGAAAAUGACGAAAAUUGUUAAAAUGCAUAUAAGUUAAUACACGUGCAAAUGCGAACUUUUAUACCCCUAAUGAAAAACUAAAAACUGUUUGAAAAAAUAUUGACAUAAGUCAUAGACUCAUAGUAUACCACAGUAGAGUAAGCUUAGACCAUGAAUAUCGGUAUCCUUAAUAGGGGUUUUAAACAAAAGUAAUGAUUUAAUUAAAUCAAAAUUAAUUAAAAGGAGAAUAAUCGAUCCUUAGCUUAGGUUUUUUGUGAUCGAUUUUUAGGGAGGUUUCCAACCAUGUGUCAGCAAAGCACUGGACCUAUUUUUUUUCCCUUUUCUUUCUUUAUUUUGUUUCAUCACCGAUUCAUCGCAAAUCGACGACGUCUCCUCCGACUUCUCUGUCGAAACCGAGGAUCGAAACCGAGGACGACUCUCUUGGUCCUCACGGAGUCUCGUCCCACUUGCCUCAUCUUCUCCGUCAGAAGAAGUACCCAAAGCCACGACGGACGACGACUCUGUCGGUGUUGACGACGUCUCCUCCGUCUCGCUCACGAUCUCUUCAAUUUGAAGAUAAGUUCCCAACUAUUUAACUUCACCUCAUCCUUUUCAUUUCUAUUUCAACCUUGUCAUUUCAAUAUCUUGAGUUACGAUUACGGUUUGUUAGUUUUGUGGGUAAUUUUAAAGGUUUGGUCUUUGAUCGACAAUUGUAAAGGUUUGGUCUUCUGAUCUGUUCAAGUUGACAGGAAGUUAAGAGUGUCGUGUAACGUGAUCUGAAAUCUCGCUAGAUCAUCUUCUAAUUUGUUCAUGUUGACUUACGACGGUAGUAGGAGAACAAACGUGUAUUGCUUCCUAUUGACGGUGUUGAUAUUGUCAUUGGUACACCAGGUCGUUUGAGAGAUCUGAUUGACUCUAAUGAGCUUCGUCUCUCUGAUGUUUCCUUUGUGGUAUUGGAUGAAGCAGAUCGAAUGCUUGAUAUGGGUUUCGAGGAACCAGUCCGGUUUAUACUCAGCAAGACGAAUAAAG